AGUGAACGCUGGCGGUAGGCCUAACACAUGCAAGUCGAACGGCAGCACAGUAAGAGCUUGCUCUUACGGGUGGCGAGUGGCGGACGGGUGAGGAAUACAUCGGAAUCUACUUUUUCGUGGGGGAUAACGUAGGGAAACUUACGCUAAUACCGCAUACGACCUACGGGUGAAAGCAGGGGAUCUUCGGACCUUGCGCGAUUGAAUGAGCCGAUGUCGGAUUAGCUAGUUGGCGGGGUAAAGGCCCACCAAGGCGACGAUCCGUAGCUGGUCUGAGAGGAUGAUCAGCCACACUGGACCUGAGACACGGUCCAGACUCUUACGGGAGGCAGCAGUGGGGAAUAUUGGCCAAUGGGCGCAAGCCUGAUCCAGCCAUACCGCGUGGGUGAAGAAGGCCUUCGGGUUGUAAAGCCCUUUUGUUGGGAAAGAAAAGCAGCAGGUUAAUACCCCGCUGUUCUGACGGUACCAAAAGAAUAAGCACCGGCUAACUUCGU
rnacentral:rRNA from 1 species